GUGGGGAAUAUUGCACAAUGGGGGAAACCCUGAUGCAGCGACGCCGCGUGAGUGAAGAAGUAAUUCGUUAUGUAAAGCUCUAUCAGCAAGGAAGAAAAAAGACGGUACUUGACUAAGAAGCCCCGGCUAAAUACGUGCCAGCAGCCGCGGUAAUACGUAUGGGGCAAGCGUUAUCCGGAUUUACUGGGUGUAAAGGGAGCGUAGACGGCAUGGCAAGUCUGAUGUGAAAGGCUGGGGCUCAACCCCGGGACUGCAUUGGAAACUGUCUGGCUGGAGUGCGGGAGAGGUAAGUGGAAUUCCUAGUGUAGCGGUGAAAUGCGUAGAUAUUAGGAGGAACACCAGUGGCGAAGGCGGCUUACUGGACCGUAACUGACGUUGAGGCUCGAAAGCGUGGGGAGCAAACAGGAUUAGAAACCCUAGUAGUCC
rnacentral:rRNA from 1 species